GAUCAUCCUCCCACUUGCCUACAGCGCCGGGCUGCCAGGCUGCUGCCCACUGACCUGUGGAGCAGGUCGAAGAUUGGCUGCUCUCCACAAGAUACGUUCCCCCAACCCUCAGUGAAGAAAGCAACCUGGAACCAGGUGACAGGUCCUUAAAGAAGAAUGUCUCCAGAGCACAUGACCACGCCGUCUAGGCAGGACUCUCCAAGGGAAGAUUCCAACGCGUUUGGACCUUAUCUGGUUACUCCUUUCCGGGAGGUCUCCUGCCCUCUAUCCAGAGCGCUCGGUGUGGACAAGAUGCCUCGAGAAGGUCCAGCACCUGCGCCCAUAGAGGGCCCUGCGAGCGGUGGACCUCCUUUACAGGAGCUUGGCGGCAUUUCUUUUGAGACUUCGAGCGAACGUUGGCGCCACAAUGGUACUUACUCACUCACGAAUC